GCGACACGGCGGGGGCCGGGCAGCGCCGCUCGGCCCAGGCGCCAGUGCGGCCGCGAGGCGCGGGGCCGUGAGGGGCGGGCCUGGGAGGGGAGCGGCCGCGGGGGCGGGGCCGGGGCGGGGCCGGAGGAGGAGGCGGAAGCGGCGAGCGAGCCCGAGCCGGAGCCGCAUCGAAGCUGCGUCCGGGGCCGGCGGAGCGGCGGCGGCGGCGGCGGCGGCGGCGGCGGCGGCGGCGGCGGGGUGACCACUCGCCGCGCCGCCGGAGGCUUCACCCGCGUCCUCCCCCAGGACGCGCCCGCGGAGCUCGGGCGCCUUCGCCCCGGACCCGGAGGCCGCGCUGCGCGGGGCGGCGGCGAGGCCGGAAGAUGGCCUGGGUGCUCAGUAUGGACGAGGUGAUCGAGUCCGGGCUGGUGCACGACUUCGACUCCAGCCUGUCCGGCAUCGGACAGGAGCUGGGCGCGGGCGCCUACAGCAUGAGUGAUGUGUUGGCAUUGCCCAUUUUUAAGCAAGAAGAUUCCAGCCUUUCCUUGGAAGAUGAGGCCAAGCACCCCCCCUUCCAGUAUGUAAUGUGUGCUGCAACUUCGCCAGCCGUGAAACUGCACGAUGAGACGCUUACUUACUUGAACCAAGGCCAGUCUUAUGAAAUUCGGAUGCUGGAUAAUCGCAAAAUGGGAGAUAUGCCUGAGAUCAGUGGGAAGUUGGUAAAGAGCAUCAUAAGGGUGGUGUUCCAUGACAGACGGCUACAGUACACAGAACAUCAGCAGCUUGAAGGCUGGAAGUGGAAUCGCCCAGGAGACAGGCUUCUCGAUUUAGAUAUUCCAAUGUCUGUGGGAAUAAUUGACACAAGAACAAAUCCAAGCCAGUUAAAUGCAGUUGAAUUUCUGUGGGACCCUGCAAAGCGCACCUCUGCCUUCAUUCAGGUACACUGUAUCAGCACAGAAUUCACCCCGCGUAAGCAUGGAGGUGAAAAAGGAGUGCCUUUUAGGAUCCAAGUUGACACCUUUAAGCAGAAUGAAAAUGGGGAAUAUACGGAUCAUCUUCACUCAGCUAGCUGCCAAAUCAAAGUCUUUAAGCCUAAAGGUGCGGACAGGAAACAAAAAAACGACCGAGAAAAGAUGGAGAAGAGAACGGCUCAUGAAAAGGAAAAGUAUCAGCCAUCUUACGACACCACCAUUCUCACCGAGAUGAGGCUUGAGCCUAUAAUUGAAGAUGCAGUUGAACAUGAGCAGAAAAAGUCCAGCAAGCGGACUUUGCCAGCAGACUACGGUGAUUCUCUGGCAAAGCGAGGCAGUUGUUCUCCAUGGCCUGACACCCCUACAGCCUAUGUGAAUAACAGCCCUUCCCCAGCGCCCACUUUCACCUCCUCACAGCAGAGCACAUGCAGUGUCCCAGACAGCAAUUCUUCAUCCCCAAAUCACCAGGGAGAUGGAGCUGCACAAGCAUCUGCAGAACAAAUUCAGCCUUCAGCUACAACCCAGGAAACACAGCAGUGGCUGCUCAAAAACAGGUUCUCUUCCUACACAAGACUGUUCUCUAAUUUUUCAGGUGCCGACUUAUUAAAGCUAACAAAGGAGGAUUUAGUUCAGAUUUGUGGUGCGGCCGAUGGAAUUCGGCUCUAUAAUUCCCUGAAGUCAAGGUCGGUUAGGCCCCGCUUAACCAUCUAUGUCUGCCAGGAGCAGCAGAGCGGCACUGUGCUGCAAGGGCAGCCACAAGCUGCAGGCAGUGGAGGUGAAAGUGGCGGUGGGACGCCCUGCGUUUAUCAUGCAAUCUACUUGGAAGAAAUGGUUGCCUCAGAAGUUGCUCGAAAACUUGCCUCCGUGUUUAAUAUUCCUUUCCACCAAAUUAACCAGGUUUACAGACAGGGCCCCACUGGUAUCCACAUUCUUGUUAGUGACCAGGUAAGUCAGACAGGUAGUAGUCCCCUCUGCCACACGGGCACUCAUAAGUGUCGGAAUGUGAGAGAUGCUGCAGUAGUCAUCUUUAAAUACAGCCAUUUUCAAACAGGUGGGAUCAGAAUUGUAUCCUAGUAGCAGAAGGAACACAGGGAAAGGGGGCUGAGCUUUUUUGAGCUCAGACACUUCCUGGAGCUCUAAGGUUUGUGCGUGUGUGGCAGACUUUGGUCCUUUCUUUGAGGUGAGGCAUUAGGUAGGUUCUCCUUUUGCACAUUGUUGGAAGAGCAGCAUUUUUAAAACAUUUACUAUUAGAACACACCUGUGCUCAAGCAAUGUUCACUGACAAGCAAUAAUAGUAGGAAACACCCUGUAUAAUCUUCACAGAACCUGGCACAACAUGCUCCUCAGUGGCUCACAAAUGACAGGUGGAAUGUCUCAUACUGUCUCUUAUUGCCAUGAGGAAUGACUAGGAUUGGGUACUGUGUAAGAAGGAUGCAUCAAUUGGCUGGUAGAUCUUAAUUAUACUCACACGUCUGCUUUACCCUUCUAGAUGGUUCAGAACUUUCAAGAUGAGACUUGUUUUUUAUUCUCCACAGUAAAAGCUGAAAAUAAUGAUGGUAUUCACAUAAUUUUGAAGUGAUACCUUAUACAGACUGAACUCUAUUCAGUACCAAAUAAAGUCAUGCUUAAAAGUGUGUGAAGACUGAAUCCAAGAAGUCUUGGGAUUGGAUUUUACUGUGAAAUGUUUCAUAUUGAAAACACAAGAUGACUUUCCUAAUGAGCUGUAGGAGAGACAAGUCUCCUCAUUGUCACUGCCACAGCCCCAGCAUCCUCCUGAGAGCGAGCAUGUCAGGUGACAUGCAGCCCAGCUUCUAGCCAUGGUGGGCACAAGUACUGCUUCCCUGGCAGGGCAGUGGACAGAAUCCCCAGAAGCAGCUGCAGCUGCUUUUCACACUGUAUGCGGUUUGAAUUGAAUGUAAAACUCAACCGUGGGCAUUUACCUUUCUGUGCCAGUUUGGCUUUUGUUGCCUGACCCUUAUGCUGACCUGGGGAGGAGAUGGGGUGCCUCUGGGGGAGCUGCUCUGUGCUGAGCUGACACGGCCGUAUUAGGUAAGAGGCUGAGCACCUUCUCAGAAGUGAUCGUGUCUGAAGGUGUUACAUCAGAGGGGAUCCUGCCAGACCAGAGAAGAGCUGAGAAGACAAGCAAACUGCACUGUCAGCCAUACCCUGUGAGAUCAGUGCAAGCCCUAAUAGGUACCGAGACUUGGGCAUUUGGCUUUCGCUUCCAGUUUCAGCAUUUUCAUUUCUGGACUUCACCUUUGAAACCUCCUUGCCUUUUAAACUCAUGUGGUUUCCUUUCCUCAUCUCCCCAUUCCCCCCACUUGAGCCUCCCAAGUAGCUGGGACUCCAGAUGUGCACUCACUUGUCUUGUGCCUGCUCUGUUCUUAAACACAUCUAAAGCCCUUCUCCAGAUGUCAGAACUAGGUGAUGGAAUUUGGGAAACAGUAUCAUUGUUGGUUUCUUAUAAUGGUAAAGGGAUUUUUUUUUUUGAAUGAGACAAAAUUACCCAUGGAAACACUAGAUGUCAUAACAAGACACUAAAAUGUACCAUAAACCUUCCCUUUUCUCCCUCCAGUACUGAGUUUCAAUACAAUCAUGGAUAGUGUGGUGAUUGGUGGGGGCUCUGCAUCAUUCUUGCUUUGUCCAUAACAGAUGUGCCCGUGAGUCAUGCGUGCUCGCACACUGCCAUCACCUCUCCCCUCACUCAAGACCUCUUGUGAGGCCUGUGGCAUAGAGUUUUUAAAAACUUCUUUCCAUUUUAAUUAUGAAGCACCUCUGCCCAUUUGCUCAGCUGCUGGCUGUGAAUGCGCUUGUCUGCCUUGUUGUCCAGGUGGGUAGGAAUAAUUAAGUUUUAAGUGAAAUCUCUUCCAGAAGACAGACUACUUCAAUGGAUUAAAGGCUUUAACAGCUUGUUUUAUUCAUACUAGGGGUUAAUUACUUGUCACAAAAGAAACUGUCUCGAUAUUUUCCUCUUGGGUUUGGCAGUGCUGUAGGCCUGCAGGCCCUUUAGGAGAGAGCACCCCCUUCCGUCCUUCCCUUUGCUUUGUGUGACCACAUGCUUUCUGUAUCAUUCACUUACUUGGGAAAGAAGUGGAUUUAUCUCCUAAUUGUUUUAGAAUUUUGCUUGUCUAUUUAGCUUUCCUUUUUGGAUCUCAUGAUUUAUGGAACAAUAAAUGUCAUUUAAUGCUG